UCUUCUCACCCUUCAGGAGAGCGAAAUACUUUACAGGGAGGAAUGGCCAGCAAACCUGACACUGAAAGUCAAUGAAACUCUCGAACUUUAUUUCUCUUUUGCUGAAAUAUUGGAGGACAAUAGGAACAUUACUGUCUACGCGAAACACGGCUACUUAGUCGGGAUAAGUUUUAAUACAGAAUGUAUUCUUGAGACUGUCUCGCUACAACUGCUCGACCAUCUCUGGAUGUGUCGGUGUCUGAGAUGGAAUGUCGGCAACUACAGCUUUCAGAAAGUCGUCGAGAAGAAAGAUUCUGGAACCUGGCUUUUGCAGUUCUUGGACAAAGGAGCCGAAUUUAAAGAGACUUUAUACAUCAUUGCACAAGAUAACGACGACAGAGAGGAAACAAACAACAGCACCAUCACAACCAUCACAUCAAUAACCACCACCAACAUCGUCAUCAUUGCCUGCAGUGGCACAGUUGUCAUCAUUUCUGUUAUCAUAGUGGUCGUCUGUUGCUGCCGAUGGCGAAGCAGAAAAGCAGCAAGGACCGCGGGUACAGGUCCAGAGGGCAACAUCGAGGUGGCCACCCGCUCCAGGGGCGGUAGGUGCAUACAGCAGAGAGACAGCACUGCCUACACGUCACCUGCAUCCGUGAUGACCCUGCGUGAGUACGCCGGCAUCAUGACCCCGCAGCAGCUACAGCAGCAAACUGAGUUUUGUUCCGAAUCAUCGUCCAACGAGAACAUCUACGGAAACAUCAGCUACCCUGUAAAGCAAAAUAGAUGGAAGAUAGGGCAGCGAUGUUCCCGCCUUGUCCGGCGAUUUCUGCCCCUGACGACCCUCUGACUCCGAGGUCAAGGUUACUGUGAAGGUUGUCCACAAGCUUCUACUGAUGACGAUGUUGGCAUCUACAGUAAUCUACAAGAGGACACCAUAUACGAAAAUUUCUCUCAUGUCACCCAGUCACGUGACGUGAAGUGAGCUGGUAUAAGACUUUUAUUCACUUGGACACAUUAUUUGAGUCACGUGAUCCAGACCAGAUACCAAGGAACUCGGUUUAUACCUGCAUGGGAGCAAUUUCCUUAAACUCAUUGCAAUUCUAGUUCUAAUUGCACACACUUUUUAACAUAAUUUGUUUUAAUGAAAUCUUUUAAAAACCAAAAGAACCGGCAACUCUGAAUUGACUGUGGAAGGCAGUAAGAAAAAGCGGGAUAGAAAGGCUAUCCACCCUGAAUAUCCUUCAUAUUUAUUCCUUGAUUAAUAUUUUCAUAUUAUUGCACUGCAAGUAUUCCACCUAUCAUCUCUAUCCAGUAAUUAUGAAUAAAUAAUAAUAAAGAAAAAAAUGAUAAAAGAAUGCAAGUAUGGUUGACUUUGUCAAUCUAAGUUCCAACUGGAGUAUAAUGAGUUAAUUACUUUAAAAUUUCUUACGUGGACUGCAUCCAACUGUGGUCGUGGGUCGGAGUCUUUUUCGUCGUUUCUUUCAUCAUUUGAUGAGUUUCUGUUACUUUCCCUUUUCACGAGUAGACUAGUGAUUGUUACUAGUUUCCUAUUCAACUUGAUACUCUAAUUUUAUAUCAAGUUAGUUCGAAUUUUGUUAUUGUUAUUGUCGUUGUUGUUCUUAGAUUUUAUAUUCUCUUAUUUAGUGCUAAUAAGAUGUUGUUUGUGUUUGGUAACAUGUUUCCUGCAUAUUAAUUGUCCAAGAAGUGGACUUGGCCCUUACGGCUAAUGAUCAAAAUUUAUGUCACCUAAACAACUUGUGGUCAUCCCACCAUUGAAGUAACUUUUUCACCCUCUGGAUGACUGACUGUUCUGAUGACCUGUGACAUAUUUUAUAUGUCUUUGUCAAACAAAUAAAACAAAUCCCUGUACAAACUUGUAGAAUAUAUUAUUCUAUGGUGGAAUUAUAAAGAAUCAGCACUGUAUUUAAAUUUCCACUGGUCCUUAACUCAUGAAGUCCAAGCGUCAGCUAGAAAAAUGUUUCCUGAUGCUCUUGGUGUUGUUGCAACUUCCUUCUGUAAAUCAUUCCAUAUUACAGAAAAAAUGCUUGGCCAUGCCAAAGUUCUGUUUUAUAAGGGCAAACACUACAUAAGGAAACAACAGGGAUCCUGAAGCGGAAACAAACAGGAAUUGGUUCUAUGGAAUAUGAGUGAUGAUCAAGCUCGUACCCUUAAUUAUUUAAAAUCCAAACUAAGGCUUUCUUUCGUGAAAACGAGAAGAGAAGAAGGUGGACAAAGGACUAAUGGGAAGCAGAAAAUAUAUCAUUCUGUCCUCAAUGGCGCUAUUUCUGAUUUUCAAG
rnacentral:misc_RNA from 1 species